UCAGAACCCAGGCAAACUUAGGGCACAUGAAGAAGGGUCUGAUGGGCUGCACCUGAGGAGCAGACUCCUGGGGAGCGAAGGCAAGGUGGGGCUGGUGAGGGAGCCGCCUCUUCCCCGGGACUAGAGAUGCGGUCACCGAGAGGGUGAAGUUCUCCUCAGCAUCACACAGUGGACUGAUAGGCAGAUUCUGAGAGUGCUGUAGGUACCAUAGCCCAUCACCAAGGCAACUGGGACACAGACCAGGGCAAAGCUGCACUGCUUUUGGCCACAGAGUCAUUAUCCUGUGCAAUCCUCUCUAGAAAGGACGUCAUUCCCCGGGAAUCAGCAGAGCAGAGGAGCAGGGACAUGCUCCAGUCACAGGGCUUGGAGAGUGGUCCUGCUCAACAUGCGCUAGUCAUCACUCUUCCGAGGUCAUGGCCUUAAGCUCCACUUACAGGCAGAAACGACUGAGAGUGACCAGACCUUCCUCAUCAUGGGACACACACAGUCCAGUUCCACAGAACUGGCUAGCUUCAAGGUUGGUGCCUGGUAACUGUAGAAUGAACAGCGCAGACUCAACAAGAGCAGAGGCGUCAGAGCAGAGCACAUAAGGUGAGGGAAGACCUGGGUUUUUAAAAUCAGACUUGGAUUUUAACGAGGAGUGGACCAGCGGAAGACACACAGUGAAGCAGAGCUGCAGACUUCCCAGCGUGCACCCAUUCAGGAGAUCUGCCAGGGUCCGCUGACAGGCACUGACACCUAAGUUGGGCCACAUCUGUGCACACAGCCUCACGCAGAGGGCUCCCUGAGACCUGUCUCAGGGACGGGAGUGGUGGUGCCAGGUGUGCAUUUUGGUCGUCAGCCCUGUUUCUAUCACAAGCCACGAGCACACACUCAAUUCAGGAAGCUUCCUUGUGACCUGGUUGGCGUGUGGGUGCACAGGAGCCAUCCCACCCUCACCAUGAUGGAGAUGGGCUUUCAAACAACACAGGAAAGACAAAUCUUGGACCUUUCUGGAAGGUAUCAGGGCAGUGAGUGCAAAUGAG
rnacentral:lncRNA from 1 species